AGAGUGUUGAUCCUGGCUCAGGACGAACGCUGGCGGCGCGCUUAACACAUGCAAGUCGAGCGAGAACCGGGACUUCGGUCCCGGGGACAGCGGCGAACGGGUGAGUAACACGUGGGUAAUCGACCCUCGGCACCGGGAUAGCCCGAGGAAACUCGGAUGAAUACCGGAUGGCCCCUCCGACUCUCGAGUCGGUCGGGAAAGGUAGCUUAGGCCUCUGGCCGGGGACGAGUCCGCGGCGGAUUAGCUUGUUGGUGGGGUAGUGGCCUACCAAUGCGACGAUCCGGAGCUGGUCUGAGAGGACGAUCAGCCACACUGGGACUGAGACACGGCCCAGACUCCUACGGGAGGCAGUAGUGGGGAAUCUUGCGCAAUGGGCGAAAGCCUGAUGCAGCGACGCCGCGUGGGGGAAUAACGCCUUCAUGGUUGUAACCUCUUUCACGAGGGACGAAGGUACUCGUGGUGAAUAGCCCAGUAGGGUGACGGUACCUCCAGACGAAGCACCGGCUAACUACGUGCCAGCAGCUGCGGUAUUACGUAGGGGGCUAGCGUCGUGCGGAUUUACUGGGCGUAGGCAGCGUGUAGGCUGCCCGACAGGUCUGAAAUGAGGACUGGAGGCUUAGCAUCAGACGUCGUACNCAGAGGCUCUGGCUGUACUCAGGAUCAAGUAGACUGCANUUUAUGGCUGCUAGCUGGGUGCAAAUGCUCCCCCAUGUACCCGGAAGAAACAGGCCUANUUGGCNUANAGCCUGGCUCAUCUGUGGAACGGUACCUGACCCNGAUACGCUCAGAGGCUGGAUGCCACCUGAUGCAUUCCUGCUAUUUC
rnacentral:rRNA from 1 species